GAACGUUCAAGGUGAAACGGAAACAAAGGGUAUUUUGUUGUAACGAGAGUAUUUAAGAACACGUAAAUAUCACAACUGCAUCGAAGUUUCUCAAGCUCUGUAGAAGUUAUCUUGUUGGAAUGCGGUUGGAUUCUUUGUUGGAAAUCGUUAUUCUCUCGCUAUUUGUUGAGGAGAAACUUGUACUGUUACGUUAAAAAAUCUGUUUAUUGGAAAGGGAAAUAUUAAAGUGAAAAUAUACUGUGAGUAAAUUUGGCUUUGGUGAAAUUUAGAAUGUGUAAUGUAUCAACUAAGUCAAGAUUUUAUCCAUGUCUUUGUUUACAAAUGAAAGAUUGGCUUAAUUGGUUUUGGGACGAUGAAUAUGGUGAAAUGUUUGAAUGCUAUUUUCGAUUCUUUAUUGUGGAUGAUGUAUUGAAGCGAGACAAUUUGUAUUAUCAGUAAAUUGGGUUUUGAACUUUCCAUAUUAUCAUUUGCAAUUUUGCAAUUUGAUAAGUGCUUUUCUAGCUACGCUAAAAGUCGGAUUAUUCGAAGGACUACACGUUGCUUGAAAUAAAGGGAAAAUUAUGGGUUAUUUCGAAAAAAAAGAGUUAUGAGGUUAUUUAAAGAACUCUGCGAAAGCAAAUUUCAGAACUGUCAAAAGUGUUAUUAUUGUGUAAGGUUCAAGUUAACCUUAGCAAAAUUAAUACUGGACUAUAUUGAAGCUGAUUUCUUUCAUUUUAUUCGUGGAAAGAUACAAAGAAAGGAUCAUUUUCAAAUUAAAGACAAUUUUCUAUUAAAA